rnacentral:RNase_P_RNA from 1 species
UCAGUUGGUCGGAGGGUCGCGCUAUCUCAAGAUAGUGAGGAAAGUCCGGACUUCACGGAAACACGGUGCCGGUUAAUGGCCGGGCAGGGCGACCUGACGGAAAGUGCAACAGAGAGCAAACCGCCGCUGUCUUCGGGCAGAGGUAAGGGUGAAACGGUGCGGUAAGAGCGCACCACUCGUUCAGUAAUGAACAGGUACGGCAAACCCCACCGGAAGCAAGACCAAAUAGGGGCGGCAUAUCAUGCGUUUCCGCAUGGUCGCCCGGGUAGGUCGCCAGAGUUUUGCGGUAACGUAAAAUCGAGAUGAAUGGCUCUCAUUCUUUUUUAAAGAAUACAGAAUCCGGCUUAUAGACCAACUGAUUUU